GGAGAGAGGGAGGGGGAGAGAGAGGCAGACACCCCAUUCAUCACCUAGCCAGACGCCAUUCCCAGAAGCACUAGGAGAAGUACCACAUAUCCACACCGCGAUUUUCCUCACUCCUCGCUGCCCGGGUGACCGGGGACGCUGUGGGAAGGCAGGUACGGGAAACGUGCCCUGCCAGAGGAGUUACAGACCGUUAGUGCUCUUCCCUACCACGCGGGGCUCUCCGGAAUGAAGCAACCGGUUGAAGACGAAGUUGGAGCAGCCAUGGAUCGAUCAACAGUGGCAAGAGGAAGGAGAGAGAGCGAGGGAGGGGCGGUAGUGUACGGCUGACAGGCGGCUCGCGUUCAGCGCCGUGUCUCAAGAUUGUGUUCUUAAUUGAGGACAUUUCCAUUUCCGUGCAAGUGUUGCUCUGGCUGGAGUGACCUCGUUAUGCAGGAGAGAUGUUUCCUUAGUUUUUAUCUCAGAUAAAAACAAUGAAACACUGUGGUGCUCUGCCUCACGGCUCUUGAAGUGGAGCAAAGGAGAGGAUAUUGCCUUCCCCACCCUCCGGCCAGGGCAGGGCACACACGUGCCGCUCACCACUUGCACGGAGCUGGAAGUGUCUCCAAUUGAUGACGCGUCUUAAGACAUUCUUGCUGGUAAUAUGCUGACUGUGCACUAGCGACUCCCUCACCCCCAUCUUCGUAGAAUGAAGGUCAUCCAACAGCUGGAAGGUUCGCCUGGUGGCUGAGCGUGUACCCUGCAUCCUCACUCACGUCUCUCCGAUCCAUCCUCACUCAUGUCUCUUUGAUCCACACGGUCUGUAAAGGAGAAUCGAAUAAACAGCGGAUAUCCUA